rnacentral:rRNA from 1 species
UCCUACGGGAGGCAGCAGUGGGGAAUAUUGCACAAUGGGGGAAACCCUGAUGCAGCCAUGCCGCGUGUGUGAAGAAGGCCUUCGGGUUGUAAAGCACUUUCAGUAGGGAGGAAGGUAGUGUAGUUAACACCUGCAUUAUUUGACGUUACCUACAGAAGAAGCACCGGCUAACUCCGUGCCAGCAGCCGCGGUAAUACGGAGGGUGCGAGCGUUAAUCGGAAUUACUGGGCGUAAAGCGCAUGCAGGUGGUUUGUUAAGUCAGAUGUGAAAGCCCGGGGCUCAACCUCGGAAUUGCAUUUGAAACUGGCAGACUAGAGUACUGUAGAGGGGGGUAGAAUUUCAGGUGUAGCGGUGAAAUGCGUAGAGAUCUGAAGGAAUACCGGUGGCGAAGGCGGCCCCCUGGACAGAUACUGACACUCAGAUGCGAAAGCGUGGGGAGCAAACAGGAUUAGAUACCCUGGUAGUCCACGCCGUAAACGAUGAGUGCUAGGUGUUAGGGGGUUUCCGCCCCUUAGUGCUGAAGUUAACGCAUUAAGCACUCCGCCUGGGGAGUACGGCCGCAAGGCUGAAACUCAAAGG